rnacentral:rRNA from 1 species
AGUCGAGCGGACUGAAUGAAAGCUUGCUUUCAUUCGGUUAGCGGCGGACGGGUGAGUAACACGUGGGCAACCUGCCCGUAAGACCGGGAUAACUUCGGGAAACCGGAGCUAAUACCGGAUAACACCGAAGAUCGCAUGAUCUUUGGUUGAAAGGCGGCUUUGGCUGUCACUUACGGAUGGGCCCGCGGCGCAUUAGCUAGUUGGUGAGGUAACGGCUCACCAAGGCGACGAUGCGUAGCCGACCUGAGAGGGUGAUCGGCCACACUGGGAUUGAGACACGGCCCAGACUCCUACGGGAGGCAGCAGUAGGGAAUCUUCCGCAAUGGACGAAAGUCUGACGGAGCAACGCCGCGUGAGCGAAGAAGGUCUUCGGAUUGUAAAGCUCUGUUGUUAGGGAAGAACAAGUACCGUUCGAAGAGGGCGGUACCGUGACGGUACCUAACGAGAAUGCCACGGCUAACUACGUGCCAGCAGCCGCGGUAAUACGUAGGUGGCAAGCGUUGUCCGGAAUUAUUGGGCGUAAAGCGCGCGCAGGCGGUUCCUUAAGUCUGAUGUGAAAGCCCACGGCUCAACCGUGGAGGGUCAUUGGAAACUGGGGGACUUGAGUGCAGAAGAGGAGAGCGGAAUUCCACGUGUAGCGGUGAAAUGCGUAGAGAUGUGGAGGAACACCAGUGGCGAAGGCGGCUCUCUGGUCUGUAACUGACGCUGAAACACGAAAGCGUGGGUAGCAAACAGGAUUAGAUACCCUGGUAGUCCACGCCCUAAACGAUGCAUAUUUGGUGUGGGUCAUUCAGUUGAUCCGUGCCGGAGCUAACGCGUUAAAUAUGCCGCCUGGGGAGUACAGUCGCAAGGCUGAAACUCAAAGGAAUUGACGGGGGCCCGCACAAGCGGUGGAGCAUGUGGUUCAAUUCGACGCAACGCGAAGAACCUUACCUGGGCUCGAACGGCUGGCUAACGGCGGUGGAAACAUCGCUACCCCGCAAGGGGGUCCAGUCGAGGUGCUGCAUGGCUGUCGUCAGCUCGUGUCGUGAGAUGUUGGGUUAAGUCCCGCAACGAGCGCAACCC